CCAGUACUUACAUGCUCAGCAUUUUGGUUUGGUCUGGUUUCAUUGUUUCUGAGCUCUUCUGAUAGAUGUGGAGUACACCCCCAUUUUGGAUGAAUUGUGCCAAAUGUGUAGACCAUCCUCAAAAUCUAAGGUCUCAGUAAAAACAAUUAAACAUGAUUUCUGAUAUAAUGUCUUAUCCUUGAAAACCCUGACCCAUCCAUCUUCAGCACAUUCACAUGUGUAAUAAGGUAAGUGAUUUUUAAUUCCACCAGGUUUAAAGACCCCUGACGUGACUUAUUGCCAUUCUGCUACUGAGCCUUGAGAGAUUAUGGUAAGUGCCAAGAAAAAAAAAAUGACUUUGAACUGCUCUUUCACCAGUUAAAAAUAACACUGAAACCAAAUGUAAACAUAAAAGAAGUGGUCAGAUUCGGGUUACAUAUUAACGGUGUUUGGUCAGGCUGGAGCUGAGGCACAGCAGCAGAGAAUGCCUUUUACUUAUCACUGUUUCCAAACCUCCCUACCUGGACUAGGCUUGACUGGAUUUACAAGAGACCUUUUGAAAAGAUGCAGAGAAGGCAAGCAGCACACAUUUCCUGGUAAUAAAUUUUAAAGGUUGCUAAAACAUUCCAGAGAUUUUCACUCAACAUUCCUCUGGCCAACACAUCUGCAAUCUGCCAAUCCUUAAAAAUAGGUGUUUUUGCAUUUUAAUCUCACAAACAUCUUUGAAAAUGCAUUUCUUCUCUGCCCCUGUGUUGGACAAAUCCAGCUUUUUCCAUUUUCUAAAAACCACAGAAAUAUAAUGCUGCUUAAUUCAUACAAGACUGAGCUAACUGGAGUUAAAAUAAAAUUUCUGAGAGUUUGUUUGGCUCACUCUUCCCUACCAGAUGAUUCCAUUCUUAAAACGGUCCUGUGAUUAUAUUCUCUCAUUACAGAGGUGUCCAGAAAAAAAAUAAGGAGUGCAGUUCUGAAAUUAUAUAAAAGCAAAAUUAUUACUCUAAACGUAAGAGCUGUGAUAGAUCGUGUCAUUGACCAUGGUUCUUUUCCCCUGACACACACGUCCCCACCACCCACCCACUGUAUCCAUAUGCCUUUUGCCAUAUGACUUUGCAGCUCUCCCCACUAAAGGGGCAGCCAUGCGAUUUGCUUUGGCCAAUGAAAUGAGGCAGUAGUGGUGGUAUCCUAGUUCUGAGCCUAGGUCUCAAGAAGUCUUAUGUGUUUCUGCUUAUCCUCUUAUACCUCUGCCAUCACCAUGAGCCAAACAUCCCCCAAGUAGCCCACUGGUCCCAGGACAAGGAGGGAGACAUGAAGCAGAGCUCAUCCAGCUGCUGCAGCCCCACUUGACCCAGAGACCUACACUGGGAAGCAGAGCUGCCCAGUCAAGUCCAACCUGGAUGUGUGGAACCCCAGCCAACCUGAUGCAUGAGCAGUGACUCUGGACAGUGAACAUUGGUGGAAAUUGGUUAUCCCCAAUUUCCAGCUCACGGCAUUGGAAGACAUCAUAAACAUUAAUGGAGAGCGGGAUGCCAGAAUAAGUUGAUCCAAAUGAUGCAGGAAUAUUUAGCAGCAAGGAGAAAGGAAUUCACAUUUCUCAGUACCCACUAUGUGCCAUACUUUGUGAUAAGAUGGUUUCCCUCCAAUAUAUCCUCAUUGUCAGCAAUGUCGGGAAACAGGAAUCAUUUCCCCUUCUACAGGUGAUAAAACUGAAGCAAGAAACAUACAGGCUAACAUCAGCUGAGCUGAGAUUUGAACUCCACUCUUUUUGACCCUGGAGCUGAUGAAUGCUGCUUCUAGAGGUUGAGUAUCCCUUAUCCGAAAUCCUUGGAACCAGGAGAUUUUUGGAUUUGGGAAUAUUUGCAUAUACAUAAUGAGAUAUCUUGGAGAUGGGACCCAAGUCUAAAUACAAAAUUAUUUUGUUGUAUAUACACCUUGUACACAUAGACUGAAGAUAAUUUUAUACAAUAUUUUAAAUAAUUUUGUGCGUGAAACAAAGUUGUGACUAUGUCUUGACUGUAAGACAUCUUGCAUGCAACCCAUCAUAUGAGGUCAGGUGCAGAAUUUUCCAUUUGUGGUGUCAUGUUAGUGCUCAAAAAUUUUCGGAUUUUGGAGCACUUCAGACUUUCGUUUUCCAGACGGGGGAUGCUCAACCUGUCUUAGAACCUGUGGUCUCCCAUCAUGCCUCCCUUCCCCAUUCCCUUGCUCCACUGGGGUCUGAGGUGGGAAAGCAAAAGGAGUUGCAGGUAACCCUCACUUUUCACACCAGGCAAUCUCUCCCCACAAUCUGUCACAUUCCUGAAGAACAAGGAAGCAGAGCACUCCACUGAAGAAAUUCUGUUAAAAUCUAUCCCCAACGUAUAAGCAUCCAUCUUUGUCCCAGUCUGGGUCUAACAUGAACAAAGUGCUUAAACAAUUCAGUAGAGGAGAAAGGGAACUUGGAGCAGCUCUGUCACCCUGAAGUGACACUGCCAUGCUGCAUUUCCUGUCUGUAAUAUCUCUUCAGAGCAAUUGUUUUCUUCUGUGAGGACACUUCAGAGAUUCACAGAGACAGAUGCUCUUGUGACUGACCAUAGCAAGUAUCAAAAGGCCUGGGUGGAAUUACGAAGCAUUUCUCGUGCACUGCGUAUUGGGAAGUGCUUCACAGCUGUGUGGCAGAUGUGAGUGGACAGAGGGGCAAGGGAACUGCCCCAAAGGAGGUGGCAGAGGAAGCAACAAGCCAGGGAUUGGCUGGCCGGUCCCAGCACAGCAACUGCAGCAGCAGCUUGCUAAGUUUCACAGGUGAAGCCAAAGGCUGGGGGGAAUGGAAAACAAAUAUCACUCCAUUAAAUUAAGGUCUGAGGAAAACAUGAUGAGGAAAGUCAAUAGUGAAUCAAAACAUUGAAAAGCCACUAACUUUGACUUUCCAUGUGCGUGUGCAAGUUCACGUGUGCAUGUGUGUCUGCAUGUCCAAGUUCUACACUGAUUCAAGAAAUAAUUAUAGAGGGCCUGCCAUAGGAUGGUGAGCAAAACAGUCUUGGCCUCUGUCCUGAUGGAGCAUGCAGUAUCACAGACUCUAUAUGUUCUAUUUCUAGGCCUUGUAUUUUGAGGAUAUAUGCCAGUGGAAUGAGAAUGGCUCUGUGACCUUGUUUAAGUCCCACCACUGUCUCAGGCAGGGUUUUCCAAAGUGUAGUCCUUAUACUAUUAUGUGGUGAAGAUGCUUAAUUGUUUUGUAAUUAUUUAAUGUGCGUAGGUAUCACAUCAAACCCAGUAUUUUCAAGGAUUUUUAUAGCUUAAGACAAGGCUUGUUAUAGGCAAGGUGGAUCAAUUCAAAAAAUAUAUGCUAACAAAAUAAUAGUGGAGGUGGUACAAAGAAACAGCAAAGGUAGUGAGAUGGCUUCACUGGUGUUUGUGAAUCACCAAGAUAAUGCACGUGGAAAUAAAAAUCAGUGUGGUCCAUAGAAAUACAAGGGGUUCUAAUUACCCCUCAGUGAGCACUUGCUCUCUCACUCACCCCAGCAAUGACAUAUUAAGCAAAGCACUGCCCUGACUGCAUAUGCUCUUGCCGACAACUUGGCCAGCAUUCAGAAGACACUAAGUGUGCUCUGGGAACUUCAGAAGGCACUAACAUUCCAUGGAGAACUUCACAAAGAGUGAGACCUAGUCCCUGGCCUAAAGAGAGUAUAAUUUAGUAGGAAAGAGAAGACAAACACACAAAUAACUGUAAAAUGGGAUAAGCCCCAAAGUGGAGGUACAAAGUCCCAUAGAAGAGGCUCAAUGAUAAGUCACGCCUGCCGGGUAAGGUCAAGAAAGACUUCAUGGAGAUUUGAGAUGGCAUCUGAGAUAAGCCAGGAAAGACGGUAGAAUUUCAACAACCAAAAAAGUGGGGAGAGGGAUGGGAGGCAUUCCAGAGAAGGAGAAAUGCUUGAGCAAUGGUACAGAGACCAGGAAGUUAUAUGAGGGCAGAAAGUCCCUGCUGUCUAUUUAGCUGGGAUAUAGAAUGCAAGUCAGUUAGAUGAUUAGGUGGGGUUAUAACAUAACUAGCCUUAAAUAGUGGACUGAGAAUUUUCCACUUAAUUUAAUGCAAAUGGCAGGGGAGGGGGCAGGCAAUGGAGAGCUGAAAACAGGACUGGAGAUGCGCUGGAGGGAAGUAACCCUGGAAAUGGGUGAAGUACGGGUUACUGUCACCCCAGCUCUGGUUCUUGUUAUUCCCUAGGAGAAGCAUAAUAGAAGUGUGAAUUUAGGGUAGCCAAAUGAUGACUUUGCAGAGGGAAUCUUUAGGACUUGUGACUUGAUUAAAAGCAGGGAGAUGGAUAGGGAACGUCCAAGGAUAACUAGAUAACUAGAGCUCUCCUGUUCCUCUGACUCAUGUGUGCUGAAACUGUAGAGUCAAACAAACACUUGUAAGUGGCGUGAUGUAAAUCCCUUAGGGGCCCAUGCCUGCCUCAAGAGAAGAACGUGUGGUCAGGAAAAACGACCGGGGGAAGUGAAAACGACACAAGACCCAGAGGAUAACCCUUAUUUUAUUCACACAUGCAAAUUUAGGCACAGCAAAAAGCAAAACGAAGUAUACCAAAUGUCAAGGGUUAAUUAUUAAUCAUUUCUAUAUUAAAUUAUGAGUUUUUC
rnacentral:lncRNA from 10 species